rnacentral:rRNA from 1 species
GUGAGGAAUUUUCCGCAAUGGGCGAAAGCCUGACGGAGCAAUGCCGCGUGAAGGAUGAAGGCCUAUGGGUUGUAAACUUCUUUUCUCAGAAAAGAAUUAUGACGGUAUCUGAGGAAUAAGCAUCGGCUAACUCUGUGCCAGCAGCCGCGGUAAGACAGAGGAUGCAAGCGUUAUCCGGAAUGAUUGGGCGUAAAGCGUCUGUAGGUUGUUUAAAAAGUAUUCUGUCAAAGAUUAGGGCUUAACCCUAGAUAGGCAGAAUAAACUUUUAAGCUAGAGUUUGGUAGAGGCAGAGGGAAUUCCCGGUGGAGCGGUGAAAUACGUAGAUAUCGGGAGGAACACCAAAGGCGAAGGCACUCUGCUGGGCCAAUACUAACACUGAGAGACGAAAGCGAGGGGAGCAAAUGGGAUUAGAAACCCGAGUAGUCC